UGGUGGGUAGUUUGACUGGGGCGGUCUCCUCCUAAAGAGUAACGGAGGAGCACGAAGGUUGGCUAAUCCUGGUCGGACAUCAGGAGGUUAGUGCAAUGGCAUAAGCCAGCUUGACUGCGAGCGUGACGGCGCGAGCAGGUGCGAAAGCAGGUCAUAGUGAUCCGGUGGUUCUGAAUGGAAGGGCCAUCGCUCAACGGAUAAAAGGUACUCCGGGGAUAACAGGCUGAUACCGCCCAAGAGUUCAUAUCGACGGCGGUGUUUGGCACCUCGAUGUCGGCUCAUCACAUCCUGGGGCUGAAGUAGGUCCCAAGGGUAUGGCUGUUCGCCAUUUAAAGUGGUACGCGAGCUGGGUUUAGAACGUCGUGAGACAGUUCGGUCCCUAUCUGCCGUGGGCGCUGGAGAACUGAGGGGGGCUGCUCCUAGUACGAGAGGACCGGAGUGGACGCAUCACUGGUGUUCGGGUUGUCAUGCCAAUGGCACUGCCCGGUAGCUAAAUGCGGAAGAGAUAAGUGCUGAAAGCAUCUAAGCACGAAACUUGCCCCGAGAUGAGUUCUCCCUGAGACUUUAAGUCUCCUGAAGGAACGUUGAAGACGACGACGUUGAUAGGCCGGGUGUGUAAGCGCAGCGAUGCGUUGAGCUAACCGGUACUAAUGAACCGUGAGGCUUAAC
rnacentral:rRNA from 1 species